GGACUAGAGAUAGUCCUUUCUCUUCGGAGACCUCGGUGACAGGUGGUGCAUGGUUGUCGUCAGCUCGUGUCGUGAGAUGUUGGGUUAAGUCCCGCAACGAGCGCAGCCCUUAUUGUUAGUUGCUACGCAAGAGCACUCUAGCGAGACUGCCGUUGACAAAACGGAGGAAGGUGGGGACGACGUCAAAUCAUCAUGCCCCUUAUGUCCUGGGCCACACACGUACUACAAUGGUGGUAAACAGAGGGAAGCAAGACCGCGAGGUGGAGCAAAUCCCUAAAAGCCAUCCCAGUUCGGAUCGCAGGCUGCAACCCGCCUGCGUGAAGUUGGAAUCGCUAGUAAUCGCGGAUCAGCAUGCCGCGGUGAAUACGUUCCCGGGCCUUGUACACACCGCCCGUCACACCAUGAGAGUCGGGAACACCCGAAGUCCGUAGCCUAACCGCAAGGGGGGCGCGGCCGAAGGUGGGUUCGAUAAUUGGGGUGAAGUCGUAACAAGGUAGCCGUAUCGGAAG
rnacentral:rRNA from 1 species